rnacentral:rRNA from 1 species
GACGAACGCUGGCGGCGUGCUUAACACAUGCAAGUCACGGGGGCUCGCAAGAGCAACCGGCGAACGGGUGCGUAACACGUGAGCAACCUGCCUUAGUGCGGGGGAUAGCCGGCCCAACGGCCGGGUAAUACCGCAUACGAUCCAUUGGGGGAGUCCCUGAUGGAGGAAACCUCCGGGGCACUGAGAGGGGCUCGCGGCCUAUCAGCUAGUUGGCGGGGUAAUGGCCCACCAAGGCGACGACGGGUAGCUGGUCUGAGAGGAUGGCCAGCCACAUUGGGACUGAGAGACGGCCCAGACUCCUACGGGAGGCAGCAGUGGGGAAUCUUGCGCAAUGGUCGAAAGACUGACGCAGCGACGCCGCGUGUGGGAGGAAGCCCUUCGGGGUGUAAACCACUGUUGCCCGGGACGAACCUCUUCUUUCGAGAAGACUGACGGUACCGGGUGAGGAAGCACCGGCUAACUCCGUGCCAGCCGCCGCAGUAACAC